GACGAAGGGGGCUAGCGUUGUUCGGAAUUACUGGGCGUAAAGCGCGUGUAGGCGGUUGUUCAAGUCGGGUGUGAAAGCCUUGAGCUCAACUCAAGAAAUGCACUCGAUACUGGAUGACUAGAGGACCGGAGAGGAUAGUGGAAUUCCCAGUGUAGUGGUGAAAUACGUAGAGAUUGGGGAAGAACACCAGUGGCGAAGGCGGCUAUCUGGACGGUUUCUGACGCUAAGACGCGAAAGCGUGGGGAGCAACAGG
rnacentral:rRNA from 1 species